rnacentral:ncRNA from 1 species
ACUAUACCGCUUUAUUAUGCACAAAUAAAGUUAAAGAUUGUAUAGUAAUCCACGUGGUAGAGGCACAGUUAGGUUCGCUGUGGUGCAACUCUUAGUAGCAACUAAUCUAAAGCAAGUAUGGGAGAAUAGGUUUAAACUAUUUUUAGGUAGUUAAAAAUACGUAAAAUCCGAUCCUAAUAAGGUAGCAUGAUAGUAUUAGUGCAGAU